CGCUAGCUACAGGCUUAACACAUGCAAGUCGCAGGGUAACAUGAGGAAAGCUUGCUUUCCUUGAUGACGACUGGCGCACGGGUGAGUAACGCGUAUCCAACCUUACCAUAACUACGGGAUAACCCGUUGAAAGACGGCCUAAUACCGUAUGAUAUCGUUUGCUGACAUCAAAUAACGAUUAAAGGUUUAGCGGUGAUGGAUGGGGAUGCGUCUGAUUAGCUUGUUGGCGGGGUAACGGCCCACCAAGGCGACGAUCAGUAGGGGUUCUGAGAGGAAGGUCCCCCACAUUGGAACUGAGACACGGUCCAAACUCCUACGGGAGGCAGCAGUGAGGAAUAUUGGUCAAUGGGCGAGAGCCUGAACCAGCCAAGUAGCGUGCAGGAUGACGGCCCUAUGGGUUGUAAACUGCUUUUAUGCGGGGAUAAAGUGCGUGACGUGUCAUGCAUUGCAGGUACCGCAUGAAUAAGGACCGGCUAAUUCCGUGCCAGCCGCCGCGGUAAAAGGG
rnacentral:rRNA from 1 species